UACGUAGGUGGCAAGCGUUACUCGGAAUCACUAGGCGUAAAGCGCAGGUAGGCGGUUCGGUAAGUCUCUUGUGAAAGCUCCCGGCUCAACUGGGAGAGGUCAAGGGAAACUACCGGGCUAGAGUGCGGCAGAGGAAGCUGGAAUUCCCGGUGUAGCGGUGGAAUGCGUAGAGAUCGGGAAGAACAUCAGUGGCGAAGGCGGUCUGCUGGGCCGUUGCUGACGCUGAGGCGCGACAGCGUGGGGAGCAAACAGG
rnacentral:rRNA from 1 species